CCUUACAGCCAUACCACCCCGAACACUCCGGAUCUCAUCUAUCUCAGACGCUAAGCAUGGUCAGGCCUGGUUAGUAAUUGGAUGGG
rnacentral:rRNA from 1 species